rnacentral:rRNA from 1 species
GAUGAACGCUGGCGGCGUGCCUAAUACAUGCAAGUCGAGCGAACAGACGAGGAUCUUGCUCCUCUGACGUUAGCGGCGGACGGGUGAGUAACACGUGGAUCACCUAUCUAUAAGACUGGGAUAACUUCGGGAACCCGGAGCUAAUACCGGAUAAUAUAUUGAACCGCAUGGUUCAAUAGUGAAAGGCGGUUUUGCUGUCACUUAUAGAUGGUUCCGCGCCGCAUUAGCUAGUUGGUAAGGUAAUGGCUUACCAAGGCAACGAUGCGUAGCCGACCUGAGAGGGUGAUCGGCCACACUGGAACUGAGACACGGUCCAGACUCCUACGGGAGGCAGCAGUAGGGAAUCUGCAGCAAUGGGCGAAAGCCUGACGGAGCAACGCCGCGUGAGUGAUGAAGGUCUUCGGAUCGUAAAACUCUGUUAUUAGGGAAGAACAAAUGUGUAAGUAACUAUGCACGUCUUGACGGUACCUAAUCAGAAAGCCACGGCUAACUACGUG